AGCGUCGUAAGGGUGCGUAACACGUAUGCAAUCUGCCCUUUACAGGAGGAUAGCUCCCCGAAAGGGGAAUUAACACUCCAUAAGAUCACACGAGGGCAUCUGAGAGUGAUUAAAACUGAGGUGGUAAAGGAUGAGCAUGCGGAUGAUUAGUUAGUUGGUGCGGGUAACGGCCCACCAAGACAAUGAUCAUUAGGGGAACUGAGAGGUUGGUCCCCCACACUGGCACUGAGAUACGGGCCAGACUCCUACGGGAGGCAGCAGUAGGGAAUAUUGGACAAUGGGUGAGAGCCUGAUCCAGCCAUGCCGCGUGCAGGAAGACGGCCUUCUGGGUUGUAAACUGCUUUUUUCGGGGGAUAAAAAGGCCUUGCGAGGCAAAUUGAAAGUACCCGAAGAAUAAGCCACGGCUAACUACGUGCCAGCAGCCGCGGUAAUACGUAGGUGGCAAGCGUUGUCCGGAUUUAUUGGGUUUAAAGGGUGCGUAGGCGGUCCAUUAAGUCAGUUGUGAAAUACGGCAGCUUAACUGUCGAGGUGCAAUUGAUACUGGUGGACUUGAGUACUGAUGAGGUAGGCGGAAUGGACGGUGUAGCGGUGAAAUGCUUAGAGAUCGUCCAGAACACCGAUAGCGAAGGCAGCUUACUAAGGAGUAACUGACGCUGAGGCACGAAAGUGUGGGGAUCAAACAGGAUUAGAUACCCUGGUAGUCCACACUGU
rnacentral:rRNA from 1 species